rnacentral:lncRNA from 12 species
UUCAUUUCAAUGCAGCUUUAGGGAAUUAAAUAUGGAUUUGAAAGAGAUGUCCAGCUGCUCAUACCAUUUGGCAGAAGCUGUCUGAACUGUGAAAGUGGGGGAGAAAUGCAGUCAUCUCGAGCUGUUCCAGCCUCUUCUUGACUAGACAACUCCAUCCAUUAUGAGUCCCCUGGGCCAGAUCCUCACUGAGCUGUUACUUACAGAGCGUGGAUAUCCGUCAAUUACGCAGCGUUAGUCA